rnacentral:misc_RNA from 1 species
UCAAUCAGAAAGAACAACGAA